CCUAAAUACUAAUACCAGAUCGAUAGUGCACAAGUACCGUGAGGGAAAGGUGAAAAGAACUGAGGUGAUCAGAGUGAAAUAGAACCUGAAACCAUUUGCUUACAAUCAUUCAGAGCCCUAUGUAGCAAUACAGGGUGAUGGACUGCCUUUUGCAUAAUGAGCCUGCGAGUUGUGGUGUCUGGCAAGGUUAAGCAAACGCGAAGCCGUAGCGAAAGCGAGUCUGAAUAGGGCGCUUAGUCAGAUGCUGCAGACCCGAAACGAAGUGAUCUAUCCAUGAGCAAGUUGAAGCUAGUGUAAGAACUAGUGGAGGACUGAACCCAUAGGCGUUGAAAAGCCCCGGGAUGACUUGUGGAUAGGGGUGAAAGGCCAAUCAAACUUCGUGAUAGCUGGUUCUCUCCGAAAUAUAUUUAGGUAUAGCGUUGUGUCGUAAUAUAAGGGGGUAGAGCACUGAAUGGGCUAGGGCAUACACCAAUGUACCAAACCCUAUCAAACUCCGAAUACCUUAUAUGUAAUCACAGCAGUCAGGCGGCGAGUGAUAAAAUCCGUCGUCAAGAGGGAAACAACCCAGACUACCAGCUAAGGUCCCUAAAUCUUACUUAAGUGGAAAACGAUGUGAAGUUACUUAAACAACCAGGAGGUUGGCUUAGAAGCAGCCAUCCUUUAAAGAAAGCGUAAUAGCUCACUGGUCUAGUGAUUUUGCGCGGAAAAUAUAACGGGGCUAAAGUAAGUACCGAAGCUGUAGACUUAGUUUACUAAGUGGUAGGAGAGCGUUCUAUUUGCGUCGAAGGUAUACCGGUAAGGAGUGCUGGAGCGAAUAGAAGUGAGCAUGCAGGCAUGAGUAGCGAUAAUUAAUGUGAGAAUCAUUAACGCCGUAAACCCAAGGUUUCCUACGCGAUGCUCGUCAUCGUAGGGUUAGUCGGGUCCUAAGUCGAGUCCGAAAGGGGUAGACGAUGGCAAAUUGGUUAAUAUUCCAAUACCAACAUUAGUGUGCGAUGGAAGGACGCUUAGGGCUAAGGGGGCUAGCGGAUGGAAGUGCUAGUCUAAGGUCGUAGGAGGUUAUACAGGCAAAUCCGUAUAACAAUACUCCGAGAACUGAAAGGCUUUUUGAAGUCUUCGGAUGGAUAGAAGAACCCCUGAUGCCGUCGAGCC
rnacentral:rRNA from 1 species